rnacentral:misc_RNA from 1 species
UAUUAUAACCACAAAAUGAAAAAGUAAUAAAUUGGCAAAGACGUGUAGUGGGAAAUAUUGUGCGUUGAAUAAAAACAGAUAUCAAGUUGUUGUGCGUGAUAGACAGGGAUACUAAAGAAGAAGAACAAUAAUAAUAAAUUUAAAAAAAAAAAGAUAUAUGUAUAUGUAUAUAUAAAUAUCACAUACAUAUAAACGCAACUGCAACAUCAACAAUAUAUAUAUACAUAUAUUGAGUGGAAACACCUGUUGCUUGGUUGCGGGCUUUUUGAGUUAAAAAGAGUUUCUAUUAAAACGGCAAUAGUAGACAAGUGAGCAUGGCCGGCUCCUCGGAAGUUAGGACACUUUUAUCACGUCAUAAAGUAUCCUUACUUUGUGAAUUAAAUAGAACUGAUUUACUUAAUGUUUUGGUUAAACGUGGUGUUAUUACUGAAAUUGACAAGGACGCUGUAGCUGGAAAUGUUGAUCGUUCAACUGAUUCAGAUGUUGAUCUUUUUAUUGACAUUAUUGGUGCCAAGGGCUUUGAUGCAUUUCGGGAAUUUUGCUUUGCUUUAGAUAAAUAUUGUCCAGAUUUAUUGACUGAUUUACUUGUUAAUCAACAAAAUACUGCCGGUGGUGAAAAUCAGCAGCAUGACGAAAAUGAUGAGGAGGAAGCUAAACUUGAACAAAAAUUAAAAAAACAAGAAGCUGUUGAUAAGGAAGAUGAAUUGAGUGUUAUCAAUAAUACUGGACAACAAAAAAAUUGUAAUAAUGAAGAACAAAUAAUAACAAAUGUUAUCAAUGCCAGCAGAGAAUCUAUUGAUUGCAUUAAAGAAUGUCCUGAAGUAAAUGAUACGAGGAGGUUGAGUAGUUAUCCAGAUCAACAAAAUGGAUCAGUGUCAUCAAUUAAUUUGGAUAAUUCAACUCAACAAAAUCAUCAUCGUGCAUCAUGUGUAUUUCAAAAUAUUCAAAAUGGUAAUUUACCAAAUGGUGAACAGAUACUUGAAGUUUUGGAUGAACCGGUUGAUGAACCCGUUGGUGAUAGAGGAUGGGAAGUUCAUCAUGUAACAGUAACACGAGUACCUGGUUAUGGUUUUGGUAUUGCUGUAUCUGGUGGUCGUGAUAAUCCACAUUUUACAAAUGGUGAUACAGCAAUAGCAAUAUCAGAUGUAUUAAAAGCUGGACCAGCUGAGGGUAAAUUACAAGUUAAUGAUCGUAUUAUAUCAGCAAAUGGAGUAUCACUUGAAGGAGCUAUUUAUGGUGCUGCUGUACAAGUAUUACGUGAUUGUGGUGGUACAGUAUUACUUGUUGUUAAAAGAAGAUCACAAAAUAUACAAAAUAUAAUACCACAAUGUCAUCGUUUAACAUUAACAAGAAAUAAUAAAAAAGAUGAUUUUGGUAUUAUACUUGGUUGUCGUUUAUUUGUAAAAGAAGUUACACGUGAAGGUACUGGUGCUAAACCAGGUGAUAUUGUAACAUGUAUUGGUGGUAUUGCUGUUGAUAAUAUGAGUGUUAAAGAAGCUAGAAAAAUGAUGGAUCAAUGUAAAGAUCGUUUAUCAAUUGUUGUUACAAGAGAUACACCAGUUAAUGCAAAUUUAACAACAGGUAAAACUGAUAAUGGUGAAUAUUUAUCUGGUGCAAGUUAUAGUAGUCAAAAUCUUUAUGUUCCACCACCAACAAGACAAACAAUUGAUGAUAAAAGUAAUUUAGCACCAAGAGGAAGAUCUAGAGGUCCACUUAUGGAUGUUUCAUUGAGUCAACUUGAUUUACCAGCAACACCAACAGUUGAUCCACCAAGACCACCACCACCAAGACCAGAAGAUUAUUAUAGUUCAAGACGGCAGCUGUAUGAUGAAGAUCCACUUUCACAAAGAUCCAAACAACCAAUGCCAGAUCCACGUUUUAUAACAUUUCAAAAAGAAGGUUCAACUGGUGUACGUUUAGCUGGUGGUAAUGAAACUGGUGUAUUUGUAACAGCUGUACAACCAGGAAGUCCAGCAUCAUUACAAGGACUUCAACCAGGUGAUAAAAUACUUAAAGUAAAUGAUAUGGAUAUGAAAAAUGUAACACGUGAAGAAGCAGUAUUAUUUUUAUUGAGUCUUGAAGAACAAAUUGAUCUUAUUGUUCAACAUCGUAGACAUGAAUAUGAACAAAUAAUAACAACUGAACGUGGUGAUUCAUUUCAUAUUAAAACACAUUUUCAUUAUGAACAACCAGAUAAAAAUGAAAUGAGUUUUAGAAGUGGUGAUGUAUUUCAUGUUAUUGAUACAUUAUAUAAUGGUGUUGUUGGUUCAUGGCAAGUAUUUAAAAUUGGUGGAAAUAAUCAAGAAGUACAAAAAGGUAUUAUUCCAAAUAAAGCAAGAGCUGAAGAAUUAGCAACAGCACAAUUUAAUGCAACUAAAAAAGAAUUAAGUGCAAGUGAGAGUCGUGGUAGUUUUUUUCGUAGAAGAAGAGGUAGUCAUAGACGUUCAAAAUCACUUGGACGUGAUCAUUGGGAUGAUGUUGUAUUUUCUGAUAGUGUUAGUAAAUUUCCAGCAUAUGAAAGAGUUGUUUUACGUCAUCCUGGUUUUAUUAGACCAAUUGUAUUAUUUGGACCAAUUGCUGAUAUUGCAAGAGAAAAUUUAUUAAAAGAUUUUCAAGAUAAAUUUACAUCACCACAAAUGGAAAAUCAAAUUGAUGAAAGUGGUAAAAGCACAAAAUCAUCUGGUAUAAUACGUUUAAGUGCAAUUAGAGAAGUUAUGGAUAGAGGAAAACAUGCAUUACUUGAUAUAACACCAAAUGCAGUUGAUAGACUUAAUUAUGCUCAAUUUUAUCCAAUUGUUAUAUUUUUAAAAGCAGAAUCAAAGCAAGUUAUCAAAGAAAUGAGAGCUGGAAUACCAAAGUCAGCACAUAAGAGUAGUAAAAAAUUGUUGGAACAAUGUCAGAAGCUCGACAAAAUAUGGGGUCAUGUAUUUAGUGCUGUUAUUAAAUUAACAACACCCGACACUUGGUACAAAAAAUUACGUGAAUUAAUAGACUAUCAACAACAGAGUCUUUUAUGGAUGAGUCAAACCAAGCCGGAAGAGGCUUUGUCGGAUGAUUUCCUGUUCCCGAUGACAUCACGCCUGUCCUACGCAUCCUCCCCAGAGAGUGAUUUGGAAUUGAAUUCCGCACCUCCUUUAUCUGGUGCCUUGGGACAACCAUCAAGAUUAAAAAGUAGCUCAGAUCCAAGUAUUGCAACUCAAGAUGAUACAACAGCUCCACCACCAUACACAUCAAGCUAUCAGGCAUUUGAACAACAACAGCAACAGCAACAACAGCAGCAGCAACAACUUCAACAACAUCAGCAACAACAACAACAACAACAACAACAACAACAGCAACAACAAAAACAAAUUCAAACAAUACCCGGUGAUAGUAAAUAUGGUUUUUCAACAUCAUCAUCAGUUAAUGAUCAGCUUAAUUCAUCACAAUAUCCUGCUGGCCAUACACAAACAAGAUCACCUCAUCAAGGACCACCAGAUCUUCCACCGAGAAUUGAUCGUAAUGUUAAACCACCAAAUCAAAAUACAAAUUCAAGAGGAACAACUGGACGAUCAGCUGUUGAAAGAUUAUUUAAUAAUAAAAAUGAAUCAACAUUAGAUAUGGGAAAUUAUAGUAAUUCAACACCACACAGAACAAAUCCAUCAUCAUCAUCACUUGAACGUGCUCAACUUAAAGCUAGUAGUUAUGAUAGUAUGUCAUCAUAUGAUUCAUAUAAUACUAAUGGAAAUGCAACUUAUACUGCAACAACAAUUAAUCAAACUUCUGCUGGACGACUUGGACCAAAUGUUCCUGAUGAUUUAAAAACUGGUAAUAUACCAGCUCAAAGAUCACAUGAUCCAUAUAGAUUUACAAGAACUGGAACUCAACAAAUAUUAAAUCAACAAGAUCCACAAACACGAACUGAUUAUGCAAAGUACAGUCGAACUGGAGAUCAAAAAACAAUACCAACAACACCUGGAAAACUAGGUGGUACAUAUAAACCUGUUCCACCACCAAAACCAAAAAAUUAUCGUCCUCCACAAAAACAACAAAUAUCACAAGAUGAAAAUAAUGGAGGAAAUAUGUAUCAACAUGCAAAAAAUUAUUCUAUGAAUACAUCACAUCUUUACAAUGGCGUAGAAAAUGGAGUAAAUUCUCAACGUAAUAGUGGACAAUUUUAUUACAAUGUUCCACCACCAAAUCGUGAAGGAAAUUAUCAUAUAAAUUCAAAUCAUUCACAUAAUCAUACAUCACCAAAUCACAAUCACAGUCUUAGUCAUACACAUUCAAAUCCACCAAUAACAUCACAUUCACAUAGCAAUAGUGCUGGACAAUUGACACUUGGCCAUUCACAUAAUCGUAAUAAUGGUAUUAAUGGUCAUAGUCAUAGUAACAGUCAUGGUGGUACAACUCAUGUAUCAUCCAGUGGUGGUAGCGGCGGCGGUGGUAGUGGUGGAGGUAAUUCAAAUCACAAUAGAGAACCAAGUGGUUUAAAUCUUGCAGGAAGUCGUGAACAACGAGGAAGUGCAUUUGAAUUAUAUAGAAAACCUCCUCUACAUCAUCACAAUGUCAGUUACAUCACCACAUAAUAUUGAUGCACAUAAUAAUAGAAAAAAUAUUGGUCCUCGUGCUUCUUUAUCACCACCAAUGCACAAUGGUGAAUCUUUGUUGAGUCCUUUAGUUGAGUGUGGACCUCGUGGACUUGAAUUUAAGGUUCCAGUUGAAUUGCGAAUUCCUCAUAAUGCAACACCAGCUCAUAAAUUAGCUCUAAAAA